ACAACAAGGGUUCGUGACGGACAUACCCCACAAGUGGAAACAAUUUGAUGUGGACGCCUGCCAGUGUCCAUAUCGCCCAUAGAGGGACGGGUUUGCUGGGCUCCUAGCUCACUUGCAGGGUCAUCUGAGCUCCCUUGUGAAAUAUGGAGGAUGUCCUUUCUGGAAAUAAUCAGUCGCCUUGGAAAAAGGAGGAGUACACUGCCCUCCUCUUCUUUGACGAUGAUAACCAAGUUGACCAAGUGUUGUCCUUCUUGUAAUUGGUUAAUUAAAAUGCAUGACAGUCGGAAUGUUUGCAGAUCAGGAAGCCAAUGUGAUGGAUGUACCAGAGGCAACAGUCCAAGCCCUGGCAGCUGUACACUGUGUUUCCCUUGAGUAGGCCAAGGAAAUAUACAAACCAGGACAAGAGUAUGACUGGAGUGAGAAACAACUGCUUGCCCACCAGCUCACCAAGAACCUGAGUGAAGAAGACCAAGAAAGACUUAAACAGUUUGAGG